rnacentral:lncRNA from 1 species
UCGGUUUUACUUUCUUUUUCUCUUGGAGCUGAGCUAUAAGACAACAGGACUGAACAGGGAGCCAACUGUUUCUUUGAACAGUAAAUCAGGAACACCAAUGGACCAAAAUGAACACAGUCACUGGGGUAAGAAGGUGACUUCACGUGUGUGUGUGUGUGUGUGUGUGUGUGUGUGUGUGUGUGUGUGUGUGUGUUUGGCUCUUCUGAUGAUGUUGGGGCAAAAUAAACAAGGGUGAAGGAUCUUAUUCUAACUCCCACAGCUACCACCACCAGCAGCUGAAAAUUGUGGGGUUUUGUUUUCUUUGUUUGUUUGUUUGUUUGUUUGUUUUGAGACAGUGUCUCUCUCUGUCACCCAGGCCGGAGUGCAGUGGCGCAAUCUCGGCUCACUGCAACCUCCACCUCCCAGGUUCAAGUGAUUCUCCUGCCUCAGCCUCCCAAGUAGCUGGGACUAAAGGCACACACCACCACGCCCAGCUAAUUUUUUUUUGUAUUUUUAGUAGAGACGGGGUUUCACCAUAUUGGUCAGGCUGGUCUCAAACUCCUGACCUUGUGAUCCA